rnacentral:lncRNA from 1 species
UUUGGUGUGUUGGUGGUGGUUGUCUCGCACUCAACAUCAUUGUUCCUCUUCCAGGCUCUGGUUCGUGUCUCUCUUUCUCUUCUCUUUUCUUCCCUUCCCCUCCCUUCCCUUCCCUUCUUUGAUUUUCGUUUUUCUCUUUUAGAUUUGGUGUUGGUGGUGGCCCUCUCGCACUCAACAUCAUUGUUUGGACGCCAGGUACAACCCUCCCUCCUAUUCUCUUCUUUGAUUUCAUUAAUAUAGUGCUUUCUUUCAAGUUAUGUUCUUGGAUAAACUACAAUCAGCUUCUUUUUUCAUAUGAUUAUCUUGAUUUGUACAUUAGGUUUUGGCAAGAACUGAAUUGAAAAACUGGUUCGCCGAACUGAACUGAACUGGAAAAUUGGUUCUCAAUUUAUAAAAUUCACAAGACAAACCUACCUCAAUAAAUAAAAAUUAAUUCUAUAUAUCUUUGCCAUUAUACAUGGAUUGGACAUAAUGGUAGUCUAACAGGAUCACAAAUUAUGGGGAGGAGGGAGAUGAGAUAAACACGUCAAGAAGUGGUUUGAAGUUACUUCCUCCAAACUUCUAGACCAGAGUGAUUUUUUCUUUAAAUGUUUAAUUCGGUGAAUUGUUUUGCAGUUCGGUGAACCAGUUCUGAUUUUGCAAUUUAAUUUAAAGAUAUGCUUGCUUAUAAGUUAUGUAUCAUAUAGCUCUAAUUUUUGCAUCUGCAAUGCAUGUGAUAGUUGCUGGUUAUGGCGUGGAUUGUGGGAUUUUGUUUCCUAAUUUUAAGGGGAUGCUGGUGGAUUUUAAGGCCUCGAAACUAAUCUGGUUUUGGCUUAUUACGAUGUGGUUUUUGGCUAGUAAAUAAGUUGUGCGUCCUUGGGCUUGGUUGAAGGACGUAAAUUUGGUUUAAGCUAGCUGAUGUUGAAUUUGGUUGCAGAUGAGAGGGCGCAUGGUGUGGUGUUUUGGUUGGUAUAAGAUAGGGAAGCAAGGGAAAUUUGGAGUGCUUUGGUUAUUUAUUUGGGCUUAGUGUGUUUAUUUAUUAUCUUCAUAAGUGUUGUGCUUAUAUUGGUUGGUGGAAAGAUAAAGCACAAAUAAUCUGAAUUAUAUUCUUUGCUUUUUCAGUGUUAAGUUUCUCAUUGUGUUUGUGACCUGUGUUCGUGACACUCUCUAUUGUGGUUCAGGUACCUCACUUCUCCUUUUGAUUCCUCUCUUCUUUAAAAUUCUCCUUUUUUUAACAUUUUAUCAUAAUUUUUCUAUACAUUAGCUUAAUUUGUGUUGUUCUUUUGAUUUUAUGCAUCCUCGUAUAUACUUCUAUUGUCUAUUAUUUACUUUCUGGUUAAAUAGUGCUAACAUUUUGUUUUUAAAAGUAUGGUUAGAUCAAAGAGGCAUGGUCGCAAGGCUCCUUCUGCAGCAGCACAUCCAUCAGCGAGCCUUGAGUCUAUACCUCAGCACAGUGAGCCUAUACGUCAGCUCAGUGAGCCUAUACUUCAGCAAAGUGAGCCCAUACCUCAGCAAAGUGAGCCCAUACCUCAGCAAAGUGAGCCUAUACCUCAGCAAAGUGAGCCUAGAAGUGAUGCAGUCCAAAAUCAGCCACGUAGACGACGUGGAGGGUCUGAAUCCACACAACCUCAUAAGAAAACACCUACGAGAUAUUGGACAGUGGACCUUAUUGGUAUGAAAUUCAUGUCUUAACAUGUUUGACUAUAUGCAAUAGUUUUUAUUGACUAGUAUUUCUGCACUAAUGCUUCACAUGUAGGCGAGGAUGGGGUUGUGACAAAAGCUAGCUUGCGAGUAAAAGAUUUGCGUUAUGACCUUCCUUGAGGUAAGAAAAUUGUGGUUGAAUGGAAUAGGAAUUGUCAACCGGUUGGAGAUUCUGGAGGCCUUUUGGGGGGUUAUCUAGGGGAGCUUGCAUCUAAUGCCUCUAAGUUUCCUAUCAAUUUUGUGAAUUGGCAUAAAGUUUCUAGCACACACAAGAACCAUGUGUGGAAUGAUAGCAUAAAGGUAAGUAUCAUAAUUAACUACUUAUUUUCUCUUAUUGACAUUAUGUACAUGUUACUAAUCAAAUUUGUUUAUUGUAGAAAAAAUUCAUAGUGAAUGAAGAAGGACAUAGAAAAUAUAUAUUGGAAAAUUUGGGGAAAAAAUGGAGGGACAGCCGCGCUCGAAUGUAUGCUGAUUGUUUUAGAGAACAGAAUACUUGGGAACAAAACCUUGAGGCGUGCCCUGAUGGUGUUCCCUUGGAGCAAUGGGUUUCUUUCUUAGAGUAUCGUGCCUCUGAAAAAGCUAAGGUAAUAAGAAGUAUUGUUUUAGAUGAUAUUCAAAUACUCACCAUUAGCUAACUAUUUUUUAUAUCUCUUGAUGCAGAAGUAUUCUGAGAAAAAUACUGCAAACAGACUCAAGCAAACAGUCCCUCACACUCUUGGGACAAUGACAAUUGCAAGAAAAAAACAUGAGUUGGUAUGGUUUAUUUGUGUUAAUAAUGCUUCAUUAAAUCUCAAAUUUGAAGUUAUUAUUUUAUGAGAUUGCUAAUUUAAUACUUCAUAAUAGGAAACACAAACUGGAAGAUCAUACAGUAGAGUUGAGUUGUAUUCCAUUACCCAUAAGAGAAGCGAUGGAUCUUUUGUCAAUGAUGAGGCUAGAGAAAAAAAUGUGAGUACAAUCUGUAAUUUAUGAGUUUCUAUUUGUAAUUAGAUGCUUACAUGUGUUCACUUUUAAAGUGUUUUCUUAAUUAUGUGGUUAAUGUUAUAUGUAGGAACAACUUGAGAUGGCUAUUGAUAACAAUAUGUCUGAAGAAGAAGCUUUCACGACUAUAAUUGGAAAAGAACACUAUGGGCGUGUGCGAGGCAUGGGAUUUGGUGUUUGCCCCUCUCAAGUCCUCGAAGGUUUUGGGGGCUCAUCAUCCGGCAGUUCCUCAUCACAAGUUACUCAGCUGCAAUCAGAGUUAGAAGCAGAACGUGCUAGAGUUGAUGCUUUGGAAAAAGCUUUGGAAAAAGAAGUCACAAAGUUUAAGAGUAUGGAGGAACAACUUGCAUUUCUUAUGCAGCAUGUCAUUGGCCAUGGAUUUAAUCAGGUAUGGAUUGAAUUUGAUAGACAACUUUUUAUUCACAUUAGCUUUGAUUAAAGAAACCAAUUCAGGUGUUGCUUGGAAUCUGCCUAGAUGUGGUUUGAAUGAGAAGUUGUCUAAACUUUGUAUUGUAUCUUUGGAGUUUGGUUUUGACCUACGAUGAUUGUUGCUUGUGAAUUUGUUGGAGGUACCUUACGGAUGACUUUGGUACUUGUAGGUUAGCGAUGUAGGCUCCCCGAAUGAAGUAAGGCGAUCUUCAUCCGCCAGUCAUCAAC